rnacentral:tRNA from 1 species
GGGUGAUUAGCUCAGCUGGGAGAGCAUCUGCCUUACAAGCAGAGGGUCGGCGGUUCGAUCCCGUCAUCACNNNCCA